CAGUAGCCGCGGUAAUACGGAGGGAGCUAGCGUUAUUCGGAAUUACUGGGCGUAAAGCGCACGUAGGCGGCUUUGUAAGUUAGAGGUGAAAGCCUGGAGCUCAACUCCAGAAUUGCCUUUAAGACUGCAUCGCUUGAAUCCAGGAGAGGUGAGUGGAAUUCCGAGUGUAGAGGUGAAAUUCGUAGAUAUUCGGAAGAACACCAGUGGCGAAGGCGGCUCACUGGACUGGUAUUGACACUGAGGUGCGAAAGCGUGGGGAGCAAACAGGAUUAGAUACCCGAGUAGUCCCUGUCUCUUAUAC
rnacentral:rRNA from 1 species